rnacentral:rRNA from 1 species
AACUUUCAACAACGGAUCUCUUGGUUCUGGCAUCGAUGAAGAACGCAGCGAAAUGCGAUAAGUAAUGUGAAUUGCAGAAUUCAGUGAAUCAUCGAAUCUUUGAACGCACAUUGCGCCCCUUGGUAUUCCGAGGGGCAUGCCUGUCCGAGCGUCAUUAC